rnacentral:rRNA from 1 species
AUGAUGUUAAUGGAUAUUUAUCACAAGAAGGUGCGCAGGGAGGAGCUUAGUUGUUGUCCUCGAUCAGACUCAUGUACUACAAUCCCUCAACCUCCUGCGCAGGCAAGACUAAUAUGUGGCCGUGCGUUUUUGGGAUAUGGGAACCAUACAUCAUGGCUUUGGAUUGGCAAUCAGUUUAUCUGUAUAUUGAUGGCACCAUCUUUGUUUGAAUUUUUGUUUGAGGAAGCUGCAAUUAGUACAGAAGAUUUCAACAUUCACCAAGAUGGUAUUACUGGAACGAGAUGCUCUUCUUGUGCAUUAUUUGCUGGACCGAGGGAAAGAAAAUCACGCUGGUUAUUCAGUGCCAUUUUAUUGGACGUUUCGAGUGAAAAACAGGAGGGGAUUGGCUAUUUCUUGCAAAGAUUUGACACGGAGAAGAAUCUUAAUUCUAUUCGUGCAACAAGUGAUCAAGUUAUGAGGCUGUGCUAUGUAGAAUUGAGACCUUGGCCUUCUGUACUGCAAUUCAUUGAGAAUCAACCAUGCAUGGCUGGAGCUUUAUUUGUGAUAGUUUUUAGUGCGGAUUUUCAUGAAUUGUUUAUUACAAAGAACACCUUGAGCUGGUCCUUACACAGCUAG